rnacentral:snRNA from 1 species
AACUACACCACUGUUAAACCGC